GGAGGAUUGAGCUCAGUGGCAGAGUGCAUGCUCAACAUGCAUGAGGUCCUGGGUUCAAUCCCCAGCACCUCCA
rnacentral:tRNA from 1 species